UGGGGAAUCUUGCGCAAUGGCCGAGAGGCUGACGCAGCGACGCCGCGUGGGGGAUGAAGCAUUUCGGUGUGUAAACCCCUGUUGCUCGGGACGAACGAUCCUUUUCGAGGGAUGUGACGGUACCGAGUGAGGAAGCACCGGCUAACUCCGUGCCAGCAGCCGCGGUAAUACGGAGGGUGCGAGCGUUGUCCGGAAUCACUGGGCGUAAAGGGCGCGUAGGUGGUUGGAUGCGCCGGUGGUGAAAGCGCAGGGCUCAACCCUGCGUCGGCCAUCGGGACGGUCCGACUGGAGCACUGUAGAGGCAGGUGGAAUUCCGGGUGUAGCGGUGGAAUGCGUAGAGAUCCGGAAGAACACCGGUGGCGAAGGCGGCCUGCUGGGCAGUUGCUGACACUGAGGCGCGACAGCGUGGGGAGCAAACA
rnacentral:rRNA from 1 species